rnacentral:rRNA from 1 species
CCGACCUGAGAGGGUGAUCGGCCACACUGGAACUGAGACACGGUCCAGACUCCUACGGGAGGCAGCAGUAGGGAAUCUUCCGCAAUGGGCGAAAGCCUGACGGAGCAACGCCGCGUGAGUGAUGAAGGUCUUCGGAUCGUAAAGCUCUGUUGUUAGGGAAGAACAAAUGUGUAAGUAACUGUGCACAUCUUGACGGUACCUAACCAGAAAGCCACGGCUAACUACGUGCCAGCAGCCGCGGUAAUACGUAGGUGGCAAGCGUUAUCCGGAAUUAUUGGGCGUAAAGCGCGCGUAGGCGGUUUUUUAAGUCUGAUGUGAAAGCCCACGGCUCAACCGUGGAGGGUCAUUGGAAACUGGAAAACUUGAGUGCAGAAGAGGAAAGUGGAAUUCCAUGUGUAGCGGUGAAAUGCGCAGAGAUAUGGAGGAACACCAGUGGCGAAGGCGGCUUUCUGGUCUGCAACUGACGCUGAUGUGCGAAAGCGUGGGGAUCAAACAGGAUUAGAUACCCUGGUAGUCCACGCCGUAAACGAUGAGUGCUAAGUGUUAGG